AUGUCGGCAAGACCCGCAAGUCGGACCCCCAACGAUCAACGUCUCGUGGACCGUGUACAACUACCGUCGCCCCGAAGACGUUGGAGUCAUCAAGUACCUCUCCGAACGAACGUGAACAACUAUCGUAACAAGAACAGGACCGGAAAGUCCGAAGGCCACAAGUACCAAGACACCGAUGACAUGAACGUCUAUGGAAACUCGUGCAACGAUAAACAUGUACCACUACCGCCGCUGAGAUUGCGAGAACCUCUACCAUCGACCCUAGAGCGUGCGAGAACGACUACUUCCACUACAGCCAUCGCGGGAAUGUCUACUUCCUCUACUUUGCACUGA
rnacentral:rRNA from 1 species